rnacentral:tRNA from 2 species
CGUCGCGUCGAUGACGGCCUCGGCCACCGGCGGCUGACGGCCCUCGUACUUGUAGCGCGGGUUCAGGCUCGUCGCGGCGA